GUUCCUGUAGUUGAGAACAACAAUGGCUUUUCAAGCCGUAGUCCUUGGGUUGUAGCCAAGCAGGAAUA
rnacentral:tRNA from 1 species